rnacentral:rRNA from 1 species
UACGGAGGGUGCAAGCGUUAUCCGGAUUCACUGGGUUUAAAGGGUGCGUAGGAGGGCAGGUAAGUCAGUGGUGAAAUCUCCAAGCUUAACUUGGAACUGCCGUUGAUACUAUCUGUCUUGAAUACCGUGGAGAUGAGCGGAAUAUGUCAUGUAGCGGUGAAAUGCUUAGAUAUGACAUAGAACACCAAUUGCGAAGCAGCUCGUUACUACGAAUAUUACUCUGAGGCACGAAAGCGUGGGGAUCAAACAGG